rnacentral:tRNA from 6 species
AAUCCGUCGACUUUAGAAAUCGUGAGGGUUCAAGU